rnacentral:lncRNA from 1 species
AGGGUUUUGCGAAGAGGAGGCUUUCAUGGAGAAGAAAGAGGUGGAAAAUGGUGGGGGUGGGGUUCUGAAAGAGAGACAAGAAAUGGGUUUAGCAUAAAUUGGACGAUUAAAAUGGUGAUUGAAUUGUUUGUGAAUUUGGUUUGUUUUGGAACAGACAGGGUUUAAGGUUGUCAUGUCGUUUAUGAGGUUUGUGAAGAAGAGUGUAAGAAAAAGGUCUUAAACCCUAACGAUAAU